CGGGACGGGUGAGUAACGCGUAGGAACCUAUCGCACAGUGGGGGAUAACACUGGGAAACCGGUGCUAAUACCGCAUGUGGUCAGCGAUGAAGAAAGCAGCAAUGCGCUGUGUGAGGGGCCUGCGUCCGAUUAGCUAGUUGGUGGGGUAAGGGCCUACCAAGGCGACGAUCGGUAGCUGGUCUGAGAGGAUGGUCAGCCACACUGGGACUGAGACACGGCCCAG
rnacentral:rRNA from 1 species